GCCGAGGUAGCGUAGAUUGGCCUAACGCGCCGGCCUGUACAGCCGGAGAUCGCGGGUUCAAGUCCCGCCCUCGGCC
rnacentral:tRNA from 1 species